ensembl:lncRNA
UAAAAUGACACUCCCACAUGUUUAUGUACCAGAGCAUCAUUUGCCCUUUGGGGUGUCAUUUGAAGACUGACACGGAAUACAGACUGAGAGAGCAGCUCAUGAAAAAAAACACACCCGAUGUCACGCUGACUAGUGUUUGAUCUAGUCAGGUUUAAUUCUGUCCUUCCUAGGGGAAAAAAAACCCAUUGUCGUUUUGAAAUUUAGCACAGUUUUAAGGUGCAUCAAGUUAGCUUUAGAUGACGAGAAGUGGAUGAAAUGCCUCCUGGGCCAUGGGCGUCUCUCUGUUGGAUUUUACUCUCUGUCUGCCUCCUGUUUGCCUCUACAGAGAUUGAGGCUACGUCCACACGUACCCGGGUAUUUUUGAAAACGCAGAUAUUUCUAUGCGUUUGCACCUUUCCUCCUCUGUGAGAUGUUCUCAAUCAUUGCCAGGUCUUUAUCACUUGAGUUCUGUCUUGCUGGGGUCGCAGACUUCUGCAAAAAGUCUCAUCGAGCUCUGGGUUGGUUUAGGUGGAUUUGGAGGUAUACUGCAACUGAUGCUGUAGAUGCAGUGGCAGCAACAGUUGCAGUAGACACACUGGCACCUUCAUUAAUAUCACACUCAACUGACUGUUUUAUAUUCCUAUUGCACUGAUGGGUGGACAGUUCUCAGGUGCCUGUGCAGGUUGUUUGUGGAGCCGGCUCUGUAUGAUAUCUUUUUCUUACAGACUUUACACUCUGUCUUUGUUUUCAGUAAAAUUGAAAUUGCUCCAGAUUUUGCUUCUUUUCUUGGUGUCACUCAUUUUUAUUACCAUGCCUUUCUAAUGUGUUGAUGUUGUGUCUUGUUGCCCCUGGCUCUCUUUCUCUCUUUCACACUCUGUUCCUAUGCUACUGCGAGUGUAACCACCACCCCUCCCCCCUCUGCUCAGCGCAAACACAAGGCUCAAGUGCGGUGUGAAGUGAAAAUAGUGAGACAGAGCGGGUGAGAGAAAGGGGAAAAGAAACACAGCUCGUUAUUCGUUACUUCGUGUGGUGGCUAUUGCGGAGCUUCCACAGAUUCAGUAACAUUAGCAAGUGGUGGAGGCCAGCAGGUGGAUGAGGGAAAUGGUGAGGCGGCCUGAGGCGGCCGCUGUCCAAGUGUCAGGUGAACUGAAUUCCAGGUAAGAAGUUAUGACCUGCAGUCUAUCUGGGUCAGUUCAGGUAUAGUUUAUUUUAGUUAUGCUGACUUUUUUGUAGCAUAACUAUGAAAAAGUCAGUACUAUUUGUUUUGUGGAAAUAUGGACUUUAUUUUUUUCCUUUCUAUUGGUAGGUGGCACAGUGCACUUGAGGCAAGUAAGCAAGCUAGAAGACUGGCACUCUUGCUGGAUAUCCAGUUACGGAAGCAACACAUUAACAAGAGAAUUCUGAGUAAAACCAAAGUUACCUUCCUGAGUAACUAGUUACUCUGAAAGUAAUGACUAACUUGAAGUAACUGAGUUACUUUUGAUAGAAGUAACUAGUAAUGUAACUAAGUUACUAAUUUAAAGUAACUUACCCAACACUGCUCACUUCAAAGAUACGGCUCUAAGAGCAUUUUCGUUCACAACUGACACAUCACUACAUGGGGCACACUCACCCUUGACCCACCUGCUUUCCAAGGUAGGUGAUGGUUGCAUGGUGCAUGUGGCACACAACCGACUGUAAGCAACAACAUGUUUUUUUUUUAAAACCAGGCCAAAAGAAGUUGCUCAGCACUCAGUAAUACUUUUUAUUUAUUCCGAGAUGCCAUGCCCAUAUCAUGUGCUAAGCUUAGCACCUGAUUACAAUGAUGGGAUUGUACCACCACCUGCAUGACGUUCAAUGUUCCACUAAUCUGAGGACCACCACCUCGUGAGCAGGCCAUCCUGCAGUAAAAAACGGGGAAUGGUUGCGCUUUGCCCAGAAGCGAAAGUGGCGGCAAAACAGGAACUCAAAGACUUGCCAUUUCUCUGAGUGCUUACCAAAGCUUCUUUACUCACAUCUCCAAUUCCAGCAUUAAUUUUACCACACUUCGUUCCAUUUUCAUACUGUCUCUCUCUUACAAAAGGCUUUUGCCCUGUAGCCACAAACGUAUCCGCGAUACUAAAAUCAGCAAAUUUGCACUCUUGCGCCCAUGUGACAGUUUGACAGCUUAGAGCUCCACAUUAUUGGUGGGAUAAGUUUAUCAGGAUGGCUUCAAAAUCUGCAACCACAAGUGUUUAGAUUUCCAUCGGAUCUCAAGAGGAACAAACGAAUAACUCAGACUUACAAAUGGACUGCAAGUCAGAAAACUAGGGAAUGUGACGACCUCCCUGACUAAGGCCCAUAAACGUCGUGUUCACAUCAUACACACACUUAUAUUUCUACUCUCCCUGGAUGUUUUCCACUCUGUGCUGCUAUUGUAAGUCUUCUUGGUCCUUGUGGGGUGAUCGUGGCUCAAGAGUUGGGAGUUCACCUUGUAAUCAGAGGGUUGCCGGUUCGAGCCUCGGCUUGGACAGUCUUGGUCGUUGUGUCCUUGGGCACUUCACCCGUUGCCUACUGGUGGUGGUCAGAGGGCCCGGUGGCACCAGUGUCUGGCAACUUCGCCUCUGUCAGUGCGCCCCAGGGUGGCUGUGGCUACAAUGUAGCUUGCCAGUAAAGUAAUAGUAGUAGUAGUAAAGCACUAUACAAAUACAGACUAUUUACCAGACCAUUUGUACUCAAUGCAUUUGGUUCAGACGUUAAUAAUAUUAACUCAUACAUCCAGGUAAAGCUAUUGAUAGUGAUGUGACGUUCUGUAUCGAGGCUUCGGAGCGUGUGUCGAGUAAUGGAGGGGGCGUUUCCGCGAUGCGCGUAUCGAGGCUUGCUUCAUUUAUGGGAGGAGCUGAAAAUGAUGACGUCCGAAGCCUCGCUGCCCGGCUGUACCACGUGACUGGUUCAUGAAGUGGUUCGAACUUUGCCGCGAGCUAUGACAGCGAUAUAAACCCCUCAGAUUUCAUUCAAAAUGUGGGUGUUUGAUGGAGAGUUGCGGUUAGUGAGAGUUUGGAGACCGUUUGGAGGUUUAUGAGAGUGAGGAGAGAAAGUCAGGAGAGAAUGGAGCCAGCUAAGAAGAGGAGGAUGUCCUCUCCUGUGUGGGAACAUUUUGAUCUUAUUCCUCCCAACAAGGUGAAGUGUUUGCUAUGUGCCAGGGAGCUGGGAUAUAACAACAACACCUCAUCCAUGCUUACGCACUACAGAGCUUUGCAUGAGAAUAAGGGGAACACCGAUUGUGGAGCAAGACCAGGAGAACAAUCUCAAAUAGAUGAAGACCUGGUCAGCAUGGUGAUUGAGGACUCCCAGCCAUUUAGCAUUGUGGAGGACAAAGGAUUCAAAAGAUUUGUUAAAUCAUUAAAUCCUAGCUAUGUUCUCCCCACUAAAAAGAUGGGAAAAUCAUCAAAGCUGAGCCUGGACAGAACGUCACUCUGCCAUGUCGAACUCCACAUAUCAGCGUUCCCAUCAGAGCUGUGGUGGAGUGGUUCAGACUUGACCUGCAGGAAGGACAUGUCCUUAUGUACCGGGAUGAGCAGUUUAUUUCAAUGAACCAGCUUCCAUCGUUUGUGAACCGGGUGGAUCUGCAGGACAGACAGAUGAAGGACGGAGACGUGUCUUUGAUUCUGAAGGACGUGACAAGUGACGACACUGGAACAUUUCAGUGUUACGUGGUCCAGAGAGGAACAAAUGGCAGGAAAAGCACUGUUGAUCAUAUCAGCACCGUCUACCUGAGAGUUGUAGGGAGCAGCGAUGGACAUCCAACAAUGAAAUGUAGACGUUUAACACAAAUACAAUUGAAUUUUUUAGCGUUUUUCUCUUCUUUACUUAGAAGUAUUGUUAAGGAGAUUUAAAAACAAAGUUAAUUUUCAUUGUCUUCUUCAUUAUUACGUUGCUGUUAAAAGGUAAUAAUGCCAAUGAAGUCCGUAUAGUGCAGCCAGUCCCUUAAACACUGCUGCAAUCCACUUUCACCAAAAUAAGUUUUCUCCUAAGUUUUUUUUUUUCUUUUAUCACUUUUGAUCUUUGAUUAUUUGCUUGCUGAGGUUAAUUCGUGAUUAACAGCUUUGAUUCUGCUGUUUGGAAACGUGUGCUCCAGUUUAGUUUAUUUCCAGCAGUAAUAAAUUUGUUAAAUGUUGGGUCUGUGUUUCCACAUGCCCCGCUAGUUUAGAGACUUAUUCCUCAUGACAAACACAAGACAUAGCAGAACAUCUUCAACCGGUUAUUAACUCGCUAACGAAGGAGAGCUUUGGUCUGAACCAGGCGGUGGAGCAUAAUGCUCAUCACUCUCUAGCCCAAAUCCUUCAAAGAGCAGCUGUCCUCGUAGCCUUUUUAUUGACAUGACAUUUACAGUACACAUGACAACACAACACAAGCACCUCCCAUCGUAAACCCCCCCCCCCCCCCCCCCCUUGGUCCUAAGACAAGGCAUUAUAUGUGUGUGUGUGACAAAUAACUUUGUUGUUUGCAAAACUUGUGCAUAGGAUUUUAAAAUUGACAAUUUAUACUUGUAUUUAAAGUUAUGAAAUAUGAUUCAUUAAACAUGUUUGUGGUUGUUACAGUAAAAAAUAUAACUUUUUUCUACUCUGAUUUUAUGUUUUUUUCUGAUUUUAGAUCUAUUGUGUUAAUACAAUAAAUGUACAAAUGAAA